rnacentral:rRNA from 1 species
UACAGAGGUCUCAAGCGUUGUUCGGAUUCAUUGGGCGUAAAGGGUGCGUAGGUGGCGGGGUAAGUCAGGUGUGAAAUUUCGGAGCUUAACUCCGAAACUGCAUUUGAUACUGCCUUGCUUGAGGACUGGAGAGGAGACUGGAAUUCACGGUGUAGCGGUGAAAUGCGUAGAUAUCGUAAGGAAGACCAGUGGCGAAGGCGGGUCUCUGGACAGUUCCUGACGCUGAGGCACGAAGGCCAGGGGAGCAAACGGG